rnacentral:rRNA from 1 species
GAGUUUGAUCAUGGCUCAGGACGAACGCUGGCGGCGUGCCUAACACAUGCAAGUCGAACGGGAACAGCCUGAAGCUUGCUUCGGACUGUUUUAGUGGCGGACGGGUGAGUAACGCGUGAGGAACCUGCCUUUCAGAGGGGGAUAACGUCUGGAAACGGACGCUAAUACCGCAUGACAUCAGAGGGUCACAUGGCUUUCUGAUCAAAGGAGCAAUCCGCUGAAAGAUGGACUCGCGUCCGAUUAGCCAGUUGGCGGGGCAAAGGCCACCAAAGCGACGAUCGGUAGCCGGGCUGAGAGGCUGAACGGCCACAUUGGGACUGAGACACGGCCCAGACUCCUACGGGAGGCAGCAGUGGGGGAUAUUGCACAAUGGAGGAAACUCUGAUGCAGCAACGCCGCGUGAGGGAAGACGGUCUUCGGAUUGUAAACCUUUGUCCUCGGUGACGAUAAUGACGGUAGCCGAGGAGGAAGCUCCGGCUAACUACGUGCCAGCCG